AAUGAACGCUGGCGGCAUGGAUUAGGCAUGCAAGUCGAACGGUGAAGCCUAGCUUGCUAGGUGGAUCAGUGGCGAAAGGGUGAGUAACACGUGAGUAAUCUGCCUCAAAGUUGGGGAUAGCCCCGGGAAACUGGGAUUAAUACCGAAUGUGGCGGGCGUUUCGCAUGGAACGCUUGGCUGAAGGCUUCGGCCGCUUUGAGAUGAACUCGCGCCCCAUCAGCUAGUUGGUAAGGUAACGGCUUACCAAAGCUAUGACGGGUAGGUGGUCUGAGAGGAUGGUCACCCACACUGGGACUGAGACACUGCCCAG
rnacentral:rRNA from 1 species